AGAGUUUGAUCUUGGCUCAGGAUGAACGCUAGCUACAGGCUUAACACAUGCAAGUCGAGGGGAAACGACAUCGAAAGCUUGCUUUUGAUGGGCGUCGACCGGCGCACGGGUGAGUAACGCGUAUCUAACCUGCCCACCACUUGGGGAUAACCUUGCGAAAGUAAGACUAAUACCCAAUGACGUCUCUAGAAGACAUCUGAAAGAGAUUAAAGAUUUAUCGGUGAUGGAUGGGGAUGCGUCUGAUUAGCUUGUUGGCGGGGUAACGGCCCACCAAGGCAACGAUCAGUAGGGGUUCUGAGAGGAAGGUCCCCCACAUUGGAACUGAGACACGGUCCAAACUCCUACGGGAGGCAGCAGUGAGGAAUAUUGGUCAAUGGACGAGAGUCUGAACCAGCCAAGUAGCGUGCAGGAAGACGGCCCUAUGGGUUGUAAACUGCUUUUAUAAGGGAAUAAAGUGAGUCUCGUGAGACUUUUUGCAUGUACCUUAUGAAUAAGGACCGGCUAAUUCCGUGCCAGCAGCCGCGGUAAUACGGAAGGUCCGGGCGUUAUCCGGAUUUAUUGGGUUUAAAGGGAGCGUAGGCCGGAGAUUAAGCGUGUUGUGAAAUGUAGAUGCUCAACAUCUGAACUGCAGCGCGAACUGGUUUCCUUGAGUACGCACAAAGUGGGCGGAAUUCGUGGUGUAGCGGUGAAAUGCUUAGAUAUCACGAAGAACUCCGAUUGCGAAGGCAGCUCACUGGAGCGCAACUGACGCUGAAGCUCGAAAGUGCGGGUAUCGAACAGGAUUAGAUACCCUGGUAGUCCGCACGGUAAACGAUGGAUGCCCGCUGUUGGUCUGAAUAGGUCAGCGGCCAAGCGAAAGCAUUAAGCAUCCCACCUGGGGAGUACGCCGGCAACGGUGAAACUCAAAGGAAUUG
rnacentral:rRNA from 1 species